GAUAAAUUUACAUAUAGUUAAAUGUAGUUCUAAAUUUAACCUUAAAUUUCUCUGAAAGCAUGAUCAAAUCUGCAUCAUAAAUCCCCAGCAACUGCAUGGUUGUGAACUGGGGCGUGCUGACUGCAUACUCCUCUCCUCAGGUGAAGCAAUUAACAAAGGGUGUGAUGGGCACCGCAGUAUGACCUUGAAGCUGUCACUUCCUGUGAGUUUCCUGGAGGUUUGGAAUGACUUCAAAGUCCAUGAAUCUGGAAUACUCAAUAAGGUCAGCAUCACAGCAAGGAAUGCUGAGACAAGCUAUCAGAUUAGGAUUGCUACAAGCAGAAGUAAAAAAGGUUACCAGAUUUCGUGUAGUCUGUGGCCUUAACAAUCCACUGAAGCUGUUGGUGGGAGAUUGGGCACAAGCCAACGUUAGCCAUUUCUUAGCUAUUCUAUUUAUCUGUUUCUUGUUCAACUUGUGCAUGCACCAAAAACAAAGAGAAGGAUUCUACAAGAUCACAGGAAAGAAGAGAGCUGGAUCAAAUGCAUGGGGGAGAAAAAAGGCUGAGUGGGAAGGAUGGAAAGACAAAGAGCAUGGAGAAAUUGCAAUUUAUAUGUCCUUCUUCAAAAUGGUGUAUCUAAUAUAAGCAUGAAAGACCAAGCCUACAAAUUACUUCUAGACCUAUAUAAUAAAGAAAGAAGCAAGAGUCCUGCCUCUAAUGUGAGUUCUCUCAGCCUAGUAUUAUGGCAAAGCCACAAAUCAAUAGGAUUGUAAACAUCUGUGAGUUCUCUGGGAAAUAUAUCUGGGCAGCAUGAGAGCUAAGAUGUUUGCAAAAAAACCCCAAGCCCAUUAAAAUAAUCCAAGUGACAAAAAAUGUAAUGGGCUGGGAUUUUCUUCACUAUUAACAGCUUUCUCCUUCUGUUUCCAAAGAGCAAUUAAAAAGAUGAUUUUCAGUGCACAUUCAGAAAGGGAAUGUAAAAAUAAUAGU